UACGUAGGUGGCAAGCGUUGUCCGGAUUUACUGGGCGUAAAGGGCGCGCAGGCGGCUGGUCAAGUCCGAUGUGAAAUCUCCCGGCUCAACUGGGAAACUGCAUCGGAAACUGAUCGGCUUGAAGGUGGGAGAGGGUAGUGGAAUUCCCGGUGUAGUGGUGAAAUGCGUAGAUAUCGGGAGGAACACCAGUGGCGAAGGCGACUACCUGGCCCAUUCUUGACGCUGAGGCGCGAAAGCUAGGGGAGCGAACGGG
rnacentral:rRNA from 1 species